GAUGAACGCUGGCGGCGUGCCUAAUACAUGCAAGUCGAGCGAACGGACGAGAAGCUUGCUCCUCUGACGUUAGCGGCGGACGGGUGAGUAACACGUGGAUAACCUACCUAUAAGACUGGGAUAACUUCGGGAAACCGGAGCUAAUACCGGAUAAUAUUUUGAACCGCAUGGUUCAAAAGUGAAAGACGGUCUUGCUGUCACUUAUAGAUGGAUCCGCGCUGCAUUAGCUAGUUGGUAAGGUAACGGCUUACCAAGGCAACGAUGCAUAGCCGACCUGAGAGGGUGAUCGGCCACACUGGAACUGAGACACGGUCCAGACUCCUACGGGAGGCAGCAGUAGGGAAUCUUCCGCAAUGGGCGAAAGCCUGACGGAGCAACGCCGCGUGAGUGAUGAAGGUCUUCGGAUCGUAAAACUCUGUUAUUAGGGAAGAACAUAUGUGUGAGUAACUGUGCACAUCUUGACGGUACCUAAUCAGAAAGCCACGGCUAACUACGUG
rnacentral:rRNA from 1 species